rnacentral:lncRNA from 1 species
GUUUAUACUUGCAUACUAUUGUUUGUACAGAUGAACGUGGUACCUUCAGGAGUUUGGAAAUUGCUCCCAAUGAUGAACCAGACCUGUGGAGGUCUACCAUUUUUUUCUGAGGCUGAUUUCUUUUGAUUUUCCCAUGAUGUCAAGCAAAGAGGUACUGAGUUUGAAGGUAGGCCUUGAAAUACAUCCACAGGUACACCUCCAAUUGACUCAAAUGGUGUCAAUUAGACUAUCAGAAGCUUCUACAGCCAUAAAAUAAUUUUCUGGAAUUUUCCAAGCUGUUUAAAGUCACAGUCAACUUAUUGUAUGUAAAAUUCUGACCAACUGGAAUUGUGAUACAGUGAAUUAUAAGUGCAAUAAUCUGCUCAAAGUAGAUUGCCAAACUUUUAGUUUGUUAACAAGAAAUUUGUGGAGUGGUUGAAAAACAAGUUUUAAUGACUCCAACCUAAGUGUAUGUAAACUUCCGACUUCAAUUGUUGUGUGUGUGUGUAUAUAUAUAAAUAUAAUAUUAUUCUUAUUAUAUAUAUUUUUGGGCUAAAAAUGUGGGGCCAAAACAGGUGGGGCUCAGCCCCACCUGCCCUGAAUGACGGGUCGCCACUGUGUAUGUUAACAUGGAAGAACUGAGUCAUUUUCAGCUUCCAGGAGUUGUGUACAGAUCCUUGCGACAUGGGGCCUUGCAUUAUCAUGCUGAAGAAUCAGGUGAUGCUGGUGGAUGAAUGGCAUGAUAAUGGGACUCAGGAUGGGUCACAAGCGCUCAGGACCUCAGACUGGGGUGAAGGUUCACCAUCCUACAGGACAUCGACCCUAAGCACACAGCCAAGACGAUGCAGGAGUGGCUCCGGAACAAGUCUUUGAAAGUCCUUGAGUGGCCCAGCCAGAGCCAGGACUUGAACCCGAUCAAACAUCUCUGGAGAGACCUGAAAAGAGUGUGCAUAGCUGUCAUCAAGGCAAAAGAUACCUGGGCUGAAGUCCCUCCAAAAGACCAGUAUGGGUUGAAGGGAGGUUCAGUGUGUCUGACUGUAGCAGAACCACCUGAGGAAUUUAAAGGACAGAUGGAAGUUCAAUAGUGCUGUAAUAGUUUAUGAUAAAGAGAUCUCUCCUAAAUACAAGAUGAAUGUGGAUUAUAAUCCAGUGAACCACACUCUGUGCAUUAAGAAUCUGACGGACACAGACAGUGGAAUUUACAUUGCAAAUGCAAAGAAAAUAGAUUGGACAGAUUCAACGUCUUCAUACAGACUUAAGGUGUUGGAAGCUGUUUCCAUUCCAGCCAUGCAGGUGACCUACUCCAACUCAAGUACAGGACUUUGUAACAUCACAGUGAAUUGUUCAGGCUGGAUGUUUUCUGUCUGUGAUGGAGGUCAGUGCCCACUGUACCAGGAAUCUCUGUCAGUCUCUGAGGUCAACAUCACCGUCUCC